UCACGUCUUGCGACGGCGGUUUCACUAGAGUUCCCAGCAUUACCUGAUGGCAACUAGUGAUGGGGGUUGCGCUCGUUGCGGGACUUAACCCAACAUCUCACGACACGAGCUGAUGACAGCCAUGCAGCACCUGUGUCCAGGUCCCGUAAGGGAAGGAAUCCAUCUCUGGAAACCGUCCUGGCAUGUCAAACGCUGGUAAGGUUCUGCGCGUUGCUUCGAAUUAAUCCGCAUGCUCCGCCGCUUGUGCGGGCCCCCGUCAAUUCCUUUGAGUUUUAGCCUUGCGGCCGUACUCCCCAGGCGGGGCGCUUAAUGCGUUAGCUGCGGCACAGAGAACCGGAGGGGCCCCCCACACCUAGCGCCCAACGUUUACAGCGUGGACUAC
rnacentral:misc_RNA from 1 species